rnacentral:rRNA from 1 species
GAUGAACGCUGGCGGCGUGCCUAAUACAUGCAAGUCGAGCGAACAGACGAGGAGCUUGCUCCUCUGACGUUAGCGGCGGACGGGUGAGUAACACGUGUAUAACCUACCUAUAAGACUGGGAUAACUUCGGGAAACCGGAGCUAAUACCGGAUAAUAUAUUGAACCGCAUGGUUCAAUAGUGAAAGACGGUUUUGCUGUCACUUAUAGAUGGAUCCGCGCCGCAUUAGCUAGUUGGUAGGGUAACGGCUUACCAAGGCAACGAUGCGUAGCCGACCUGAGAGGGUGAUCGGCCACACUGGAGCUGAGACACGGUCCAGACUCCUACGGGAGGCAGCAGUAGGGAAUCUUCCGCAAUGGGCGAAAGCCUGACGGAGCAACGCCGCGUGAGUGAUGAAGGUCUUCGGAUUGUAAAACUCUUUUAGUAGGGAAGAACAAAUGUGUAAGUAACUAUGCACGUCUUGACGGUACCUAAUCAGAAAGCCACGGCUAACUACGUG